AAGUUGUUGCAGUUAAAAAGCUCGUAGUUGAAUUUCGGGGUUAGUAGGUUGGUCAUGCCUCUGGUAUGUACUGGUCUCACUGAUUCCUCCUUCCUGAUGAGCCGUAAUGCCAUUAAUUUGGUGUUGCGGGGAAUUUGGACUGUUACUUUGAAAAAAUUAGAGUGUUUAAAGCAAGCUAACGCUUGAAUACAUUAGCAUGGAAUAAUGAAAUAGGACGUUCGAUCCUAUUUUGUUGGUUUCUAGGAUUGACGUAAUGAUUAAUAGGGAUAGUUGGGGGCAUUAGUAUUCAAUUGUCAGAGGUGAAAUUCUUGGAUUUAUUGAAGACUAACUACUGCGAAAGCAUUUGCCAAGGAUGUUUUCAUUAAUCAAGAACGAAAGUUAGGGGAUCGAAGACGAUCAGAUACCGUCGUAGUCUUAACCAUAAACUAUGCCGACUAGGGAUCGGAUGAUGUUAAUUUUUUAAUGACUCA
rnacentral:rRNA from 6 species